AAGACAGAGGGGGCAAGCGUUGCUCGGAAUCACUGGGCGUAAAGGGCGCGUAGGCGGGAUGGCAAGUCGGUCGUGAAAUCCCUCGGCUCAACCGAGGAGCGUCGGCCGAUACUGCCGUUCUUGAGGGAUGCAGAGGAGACUGGAAUUCCCGGUGUAGCGGUGAAAUGUGUAGAGAUCGGGAGGAACACCGGUGGCGAAGGCGGGUCUCUGGGCCGAUACUGACGCUGAGGAGCGAAAGCGUGGGGAGCGAACAGGA
rnacentral:rRNA from 1 species